UUAUUUUUAUAGUUUAGCAGCUUAAUCACUUAAAAUAUUUAUUUUAUUAUUUAAUCUUUCAUUUAAUUUAAAUUAAUUAAUAAUUUUUUUUAAACAACUUAUAUUUAUUUUAAUUAUAUAAAGUAUGCUAGUUGAGUUAGUAGCAUUGAAGUAUGCAUUGAAAUUGUGAAAUUUAAAAAUUAUUAAUCUAUCAUAAAAAUAAAUAAAUUUAAAAAAUUUGGUAAUAAAGUUUAAUUUUUUAAAAGAUUAAAAUAGGUGAUAG
rnacentral:lncRNA from 1 species